AUUCAGUUGACGCAAAGCUGAUUAGUGGGCAAGUACCCAGAGGUAGUUUAACAAAUGUUAACAAGACUCAGCACACUGAAGUCCACUUUCCAUGCAAAGUUCUAGGCAACAACUAUAGAAAAUAUUGGCAGUGAAAAGGGUGCAUAAAUUUCUCCAAAAGGUUUAUCCUCAUGGUAUCUCAAAUAGAAUAUUGCAUCCGAAGGAGAAAGGAAUUCAGUUCAAUAGAAAUGAUUCGCAACUCAUCAUGACACCACGUAUGUGUCAGACCAAUUGUAGAACACUAAAAGUAGUGCAAAUAAUAGCAGCAUCAACCCAUAUGUCAAAAUAAUAACAUGAACAGGAAAAGGAAAAAGAAAAUCCCAAACAUAUACCUGAACUCCUUGCUUAGCUUUGGCUUCCAGCAAUGCAUCAAGCCUUGAGGAAGCAUGAUUAUGAAACGGACGUCGCAGAUACAAUUCUGGGCACAGCCACCAGCCACAAAUAAAUAUCUGCAAAGAACUUCCAAUCAUCUGAUGGAUACUUGAAGCCAAAAAGAUAGGAUAAUUAAUCUUAACAGCAGUAUUUCAGUGCCUCUAAUGGGGAAGGGACUGACCUCUGAUUUAGCAUCCUCGAUUGAAGAAGCAAUAGCUUCAAAGGCCGCCUUACCAUCUACAAACCACUGAGCCUGACUUCCAUCAUCUGUCAUACCUCUCGGAGGAGCAAAAGAACCGAAGCGAUGAGGAUGACACCAGCCCUCAGGAGGCCUAAGUCCAGCAUCAUUAAUUGCUGCAACCCAAUCUCUAACUUUAGCACCAGUCCUGGUCCUUAACCUUAUGCUCCGAACCCCACAAGUCACCUUUGGAAGUUUCCAAUUACUCGUUAGAGGGUGAAUUUUUCUGGAACCGUUCAUGAGAUAUACAAUUUUACCAGCCAAUCAAUUACACCAUAAGUUCAAUAAGUAGAGUAUAAGUUCAUCACAAUUUGCAUCACAUAUUUAUGCCUCCACUUAAAGAAACUACAAGAUAAUCUAACUACGACAAGAAAAUUAAUAAAUUGCACUAGCUUACUUUGGCAUCAACAAUUUUUUCCAACUCUAAAUCACACAAUUCCUCAACUAGGGCUACUGAACAAGCGUGUAGACUAUAAAUCCAUGGAUUUAAGUGGGUGUCGACCUCAGCAUUGAGAUAUGUAAAAUUCAUACAAAUAGAAAUGAGGGACAAAGAAGACCUAAAGAAAUCUACUGAACUCAGCUCAGACUAAGAGUUAGGAUAUAUAAAGAUUUAUAACUGAGAAAGUUUCCCCCCAACAGCUUAAUUCAGCGUUUUCCCAGGCAAUUGCUUAGAAGUUAGUGGACUGAUUUUAUCCUGAAAUUAUAACAAUGAAAAUUUACCCUCAAUUGCUUCAUUCAGUGUUUUCCCCAGCCUAACUGCUAAUUACCUUAAAUGCAUGGCGUAGAGGGUUACGUUCCUUUACUUCUGUUGCUAAUGAUACUCGACCUUCACCAUUUCCAUCUGAGGCAGGUAGUACGUCAAAAACAAUUAUAUCCAUUGGCUUGGUAUCAAAAGGAUCUGCCAGCAAGGCCAAGAAUCCAGGUUUCAGAACAGCCCACACCUGCGCAGGAGGGGAAAAGAAAGGAAAGAAAAACAACAUGGAUUAAUUAACAAAAUUAAAAAUAAGGUUGAUAAAAUAGAAUAAAAACUUUCUUAAUUAAUAUAAUCUUCAAAUGGUAUCUCAAUAACUUCAAGGAUGAUUACACUACCUUUUGCCAAUUGUCAUUACAACAAGUAAGCAAGGGACAGCAACAGCAUUUUCUCGAAUCAUCAUUCCUUGGAAUCUUUGGUAGAUGCUUUGCCAUUACGUAAUCUUCUUUCAACUUAGGGCCAUACUCUGGUGAAAACGACAACUUUGAAGCCUCCAAAAAUUUGCAAACCUACAAUAUGAAAUUGCUCAUUGUGAAGAAAGUUAAAUCUUCAAUGUUAUUCAAAUCAAUUUAUUAACAGAAAUGCAAAAAUUAUGUUUUAAAAAAAAUUCAAAUAACACUAACAUAGAUUACGAGAAAAUGCCAAGCAUACCUCUCGAGAGUUAACGAUAUCCAUGUUUCCCAGAAAAUGAUUCAAAUACUGUUGCAUUGCAACUUUUGCUCUGUCUGACAUCGAGUGCUGCCUUCCUAAAGCUGGCCGGAUAACUGGCAGAGCAGCAUUUGCCGGAACAUCUCUGAACACAAAAACCUCACUUUGUAACUAUAACAAACAUUUAAGAAUAGGUCAUAUUUUUCAUUCAUGACCAUCAUAACAAGUUGUAACAGACCUUUUCUUAGAACUCUCAUCAUGAUUAACAGCGAUCUCGUCACCUUCAUCAUCUUCUUGCACAACUGCCAUGUGAUCUCCCAUUCCUAGAUUUUGAAGCCAUUCUUUAACCUUUAAUAUAAUUUUCCAAUGAAAAAUUUACAUCAAACUCCUAAACCUUCCCAAAUCAUAAAUAAACUGACAAAAUGGCGCAAAUACAUAAAAAGUUACAACAGCGCAUACCUGCUCUUGCUUCUCUUGAAUUUCCUCAAAAAACGCACGUCUCUUCAAUGCAAAAUGUAAAUAAAACACUUGUGAAGCUUUCUUUACGAGUUUCCAUUUGAACUGGCGAAAACAGUAUGUAAUCAGUAAAAGAUAAAAGACACACUUUCAUGGACUUGAUAUAAGUAGUUAGAGCACUUACUAGCUAUCAGAAUUGCUUUCUACGAAAGCAGUUCUUAUUAAACUCAAGCAUUGCAAUAAUCAUAACUUGAAUUUAAUUCGGAUUUAAAUACAAACUAUAAAUAGUCACAAUUCGAUUAUAUUUCAACGAUUUGUUAGAGAAUAACUAAAAAAUGAAUAUCAAUGAUAAGAAAAAGAGAUCGUGCCUGUUUGUAUUGAACUUCGAUGGUGUAAGAUAAAAGCAUGGGGCUAAUAUCGCCAGCGUCGGGUCUCGAAACGGAGACGAUGGAAGCCUUAGGCAACUCGUCGAAUAUCCGAGCCGGCUCGGGUUCGGGACCCGACCCGACCGACGUGAAGAACGAUGACGUUUCCGGCUGCAUUUGUACGUACCGGAGUCCAACCCCUGGUAUCAAAUCCUCCGAUGCCAUUCCUUUCCUUAAAAUAUCUUUGAUUUAAUUUAACAGUCAAUCAACCAAUCUGUGAUUUUGAUUCCAAAAAAGAAAAAAUGAAAAUGUUUUCCCGAAUCAAAGAAUUGUUACGGUAAAAGGAUUUUGAUUUAAAUUCAAAGUUAAGAGAUAAAAUAAAACGACGGAGUAGUUAUGAAUUGUUGGGGUCGUUUUGGGAUUUUGAAAAGUAAAAGAAACAGUGAGAGAGAGAGUCUCGGGAAAUUGGUUUGCUCAUGAAUUCAAGUAACUACCAGAAGGAUGUGUCAAAUUUGGAAUUUAGUUGCCACUUUAUUCAAUGGGGGCAUAUUGGAAUUUGGAUUAGAGCCGAUUGUGUUUAGAAAACAAGCAGAAAGUUCUAAUACAUUAAAUAAUGCUAAAUCAUUCAUUUUAUUGCCUUUAAAGAAUUAAAACCAAUGGUAUUUGGAUCAAAAUUUAAACAGACAAUAAUAUUGUGAUACAAACUCCAUUCUCAUAAAUUAAUUUGGGAUAUUUUAGCUACCCCUUUUUUUUUUUUUUUUUAACUAGAGAUCUUAUAAUAAUUGAUAUAACAUUACGACUUGGGACAUCAAUAUUAUAUAUUGUAUCACAUCGAUUUAUUUAAAUAAAAUGAGUAUAUAAUAUCACAAUAAACUUCUGUAACACGUAAACUAUUUAACUACCGUUCCGUUCCCUUUCUCGUAUGAGUAAUCCGCAAGAGGAGUUUAUAUACAUAAUUUUGCUCCUAGUUCUCAUGGUCAGCUUAAUGAUAAGCUUACUCAACGGUCUUUUUUAUUUAAUUGUAAUUUUAGGAGGAAUCACCGACUUUAGCUUCAAUCAGACGCUUUAAGCUUGGUCCAAGUCCAGCUAAUAAUCAACAAUGAUCGGCAGUGUCUACACGUCCUUGGUAAAUUACACGUAUCAUCUUCAAAACAAGAAGUGAAGAACCCCUCAAAUGUAUCAUUAUCUUUUAACUUUUGUUAUAACAAAUUUUAACUGAUAAUCCAAUAAUUAUAGAUAGUUAAACCAUAAUUGACAAUCUUUGACAAUUUAAUAACAAAAAUUAGCAGCAGAUGCAGACCAAGAACUAACCCUCCAGUUAUCAAAUUAACUCAAGGACUUGAGGUUUCAUAUGCUCGAUGGGCUGACAUGUCCAUUUCAAGUUUUCAAUAACAAGAAACUUGGACUUAAAAUACAAUAAAGAAAAAGAGUGCCGUGCAAGUAUGAAGAAUCUAGCUGCGGAAACAGAUAACAUUACCUGCAUAAGUUUAGCAUCUCAAGUUACAUAACCUCUGAUUUUAAGCAAAAAGAGUAUUGCGCUAAACAAUCAAAAAUGGAAAUUUCAACAAUACGGCACACUGAGAAUUUACCAACAGAGAUAAUGAACAUAAUACUCAUCAUUCAACAUAACAAGAAACUACAAACGGUUCAUAUGGUUCCAAAAUUCAAGGCUUUAUAAGUAAAUAAUUUGCCAUUAAACAGAAAACAAAAUAACUUGGGAAA
rnacentral:lncRNA from 1 species